rnacentral:lncRNA from 1 species
UUUUGGAAAUAGAUAGAAGGAUCGAGAGAGAGAAAGAGACUAAGAGACCGAGAGAGAAAUGAAAAAAAAAAUGAAGAAGAAGGAGGAAGAGGAGGAAUAGGUGUUGGCUUUUCAAUUUCCAUUCUUUACUUCUCCUUAUUUUCAAGAGGUAAGUAAAAAUUAUGUAAUUGAAAUUUUAAGGUUCAUGGAAAAUUAUUCAAAAUUGGAAAUUUAGCUAGAAUAUAUAUAUAUAUUGGAAGAUUUGUGUUGAAGUGUGCAAAAAUGUGAAAUGGGUUUGUAAUUUAGAGCUUGAAUCUUUGAUUUAUUGCGUGUAUAUGAUGUAAAACACCUUAUUUGUAGUUUAUUAUAGUGAGAUAUGAAGUUAAGGUUAGAUUUUGGUAUUUAGUAGCAAUUUUCGUGCGAAAUUCAAGGAAAGGUGUUAGUUCUGAAAUUCUGCCAAGAAAAGUGCUAUUUCUGUCAAGGGUUUCGAAGCCAGAUUUCAAUAUAUUGGUGCCAUAUUUCUAUAUUCUGGAAUUUUAGUGCUGUUUUUGUCAAACCUUUGAUUUCCAAAUUUUUAAAGGUUUGAAUGAAUUUAUAUGAUAAAUAUUGAAGUAUAUAUAUUGGACUAUGUAUAGGGGUUGUAUAUACAUUAAGGUAGUGAUUUUAAGGAAGUGUGAGUGGUGUAAUGGAUUUGAUAGUGUAUGGUGAUUAGUUGAUAAAUCAUUAAAGAGAAGAAAAGUUGGAGAAUUGGAAAUGUAAGAAUAAGUAUAGAAGUUGAGAAGUCAAGUGGUGGGUUUAUAUUAAUUUAAUUGUUAGAUUUUAAUUCGAGAAAUUAUACCGUUAUUUCAGGUGGGAAUGUGGAAGCUUGGAAAUGUUCGUCAAUUUAAUCAGAUUUUUAUCCAUAGAUCUGUGAGUGGAAAAAAUUAAAUAUUUUCAAGUAUUGAUAAAUUAAUUAUACCAAUACAUUAUGUGCAUUUAUAUGUUCAAUUACAUGAUUAUUUUGGAAAUAUUCUUUCAUUAUGAUAUUUGUAGAAUUCAAAGAUUAGAUAUGAAAAUAUUUGUGAUUUGGAAUGUGAGACAUGUGAUAUUAAGAUUGACCAGAAAAGUACCCAUGAUUAUAUAUUUCUUCUAGUUCACAGAAGGGCCUAGGCCGUGUUCCAUACUACACUGAGGGGUCGACUAGGGAUGAAGGGGUCAUGACCAUGUAUAUAUAGUUCACUAAGGGGCAUUGGCCGUAUUCUAGAAUUGAUUAUCACAGGUCUUUAAGACCCGCUUUUGUUCACAGAGGGGGUCAAAGGCCCGUGACGAAAGUGCUUGGCUCGAUGGGCGGAUUUCAAAUUUUAGUCAGAUGGUAUAUUUUUGGUGGAUCACAUGUAAUGUGAAUAGAUGAUGGUAUAGAUAUCAGCUAAUGGCUAUAUCAUGAUUAUGAGAUAAUAGUUACAGUGUUAUAAGAGUGUCUCACUUUUUGUCUAUAAUUGUGCAAUGCAAUCGUGUGAAAUAUUAAAUGAUUAUAGCUUGAUGUUAGAUAAAAAUGUUUAAAUAAGAAAGUAUAAUUAUUUUCGAACUCUUCCACUCACUGAGCUAUAAACUCAUAUUUUUCCACAAAUUUUCUUACAGGUAGUAUUGGUCCCUGAUAGCUUGAGGAGCCUGGUGGUUUUAGAAUUAGAGCCAUACGACAUAUUGAAUGAUACGAUUCAUUUGGUAAAAUGUGAAGUAAUCGUUUCGGGCCCAAUGCAUUAUAUUUUUCAUAAAUAUUUGAUUCUGGCGCAUAUUUUGUAGUAAGUCAUAAUCAGUCUUGGUGAUGAAUUUGACAUCUAAUCAAUAUUUAUCACCGGUGCACAUCAUGUUUCGGGUCCAUUAGGGUAAUUAGGGACAGGCCGUGUCAAUUAAAUUAUUAAUAUUAUGAGAACCUCCUAUAGAGCAAGGUAGAAUGAAACUCCUUGGAUCAUUUAGACUACGAGGGAGCUUAUGUUAGAGGAUUGCACUACACUCUUUAGACAAAAUGCAAUCGUUUCAUAUUCGCGUAGUUUUCUCUCUUUAAUCAACACCACUUUCAAACACUUAGAGUAGUUUGGAAUUUGGAGAAUGGCCAAAGGAAUGUUGAUGUGGAGUUGUUGGUGAGCAUCCAAAAACUUCUUGAACUACUUCUUCAAAUUAUUCUUCUACAACCUUUGAGGGAAUGAGAUUGGAAGAGUAUGAUUAUUGACAGAAGAUUGCCUUAACCUGUGAACUGUCCG